UACGUAGGUGGCAAGCGUUGUUCGGAAUUAUUGGGCGUAAAGGGCUCGUAGGCGGUUUGUCGCGUCGGGAGUGAAAACACCGGGCUUAACUCGGUGCUUGCUUUCGAUACGGGCAGACUAGAGGUAUGCAGGGGGAAGAACGGAAUUCCUGGUGUAGCGGUAGAAAUGCGCAGAUAUCAGGAGGAACACCGGUGGCGAAGGCGGUUCUCUGGGCAUUACCUGACGCUGAGGAGCGAAAGUGUGGGGAGCGAACAGG
rnacentral:rRNA from 1 species